CUCGUAGGCGGUCUGUCACGUCGGCUGUGAAAACCCGAGGCUCAACCUCGGGCCUGCAGUCGAUACGGGCAGACUAGAGUUCGGUAGGGGAGACUGGAAUUCCUGGUGUAGCGGUGAAAUGCGCAGAUAUCAGGAGGAACACCGGUGGCGAAGGCGGGUCUCUGGGCCGAAACUGACGCUGAGGAGCGAAAGCGUGGGGAGCAAACA
rnacentral:rRNA from 1 species